GUUCUUUCCUGAUCUGCUCCUCCUGCCCCCAAAUUUCCCUCACACACAGGUGCGAGGGCUGCACGAAGGCUGCUUCCCGAGCCCUGCGUGGGAUAAGGCCAACGGGUGAUCCCAGGGAAGAAAAUGAAAGAGGAAGGGAGUGUGCAGACUGCAAAGGAAGAUUUUGCCUAAACUCCACUGACCUGGCCUUGCAAGCAAAGAAAUGUUGUAUAAUUUAAAAAGGAGGAGAGGAAAACC